rnacentral:rRNA from 1 species
GAUGAACGCUGGCGGCGUGCUUAACACAUGCAAGUCGAACGAUGAAGCUCAGCUUGCUGGGUGGAUUAGUGGCGAACGGGUGAGUAACACGUGAGUAAACUGCCCUUAACUCUGGGAUAAGCAUGGGAAACUAGGUCUAACUCCGGAUAGAAGAGCCUACCGCAUGGUGGGUGCUGGAAAGAUAUAUCGGUUUUGGAUGGACUAGCGGCCUAUCAGCUUGUUAGUGAGGGAAUGGCUAACCAAGGCGACGACGGGUAGCCGACCUGGGAAGGUGACCGGCCACACUGGGUCUGAGGCACGGCCCAGACUCCAACGGUACGCAACGGUGGGGAAUAUUGCACAGUGGACUAGGGCCUGAUGUGGCGACGCCGCGUGAGGUAAGACGUCCUUCGAGUUGUAAACCUCUUUUAUUAGGGAAGAGGCGAAAGUGACGGUACCUGCAGAAGAAGCCCCGGCUAACUACGUG